GUGUCAGCAGCCGCGGUAAUACGGGGGGAGCAAGCGUUGUUCGGAUUUACUGGGCGUAAAGGGCGCGUAGGCGGUCAGCACAAGUCAAUUGUGAAAUCUCCGAGCUUAACUCGGAAAGGUCAACUGAAACUGUGCGACUAGAGUGCGGAAGGGGCAACUGGAAUUCUUGGUGUAGCGGUGAAAUGCGUAGAUAUCAAGAGGAACACCUGCGGCGAAGGCGGGUCGCUGGGCCGACACUGACGCUGAAGCGCGAAAGCCAGGGGAGCGAACGGGAUUAGAUACCCGCGUAGUCC
rnacentral:rRNA from 1 species